rnacentral:rRNA from 1 species
AGAGCGAACGCUGGCGGCAGGCCUAAUACAUGCAAGUCGAACGGAUCCUUCGGGAUUAGUGGCGGACGGGUGAGUAACACGUGGGAACGUGCCCUUUGGUUCGGAACAACUCAGGGAAACUUGAGCUAAUACCGGAUGUGCCCUUCGGGGGAAAGAUUUAUCGCCAUUGGAGCGGCCCGCGUCUGAUUAGCUAGUUGGUGGGGUAAAGGCCCACCAAGGCGACGAUCAGUAGCUGGUCUGAGAGGAUGAUCAGCCACACUGGGACUGAGACACGGCCCAGACUCCUACGGGAGGCAGCAGUAGGGAAUCUUGCGCAAUGGGCGAAAGCCUGACGCAGCCAUGCCGCGUGAAUGAUGAAGGUCUUAGGAUUGUAAAAUUCUUUCAGCGUGGACGAUAAUGACGGUACCCGCAGAAGACGCCCGGCUACUUCGCGCCAGCACGCCGC